rnacentral:tRNA from 1 species
GCGGCUGUAGCUCAACUGGAUAGAGCGUUGGUCUACGGAACCAAAGGUUGGGGGUUCGAGCCCCUUCAGCCGCA